rnacentral:RNase_P_RNA from 1 species
GAACAUUCGAGGAAAGUCCGUGCACCACAGAGCAGAAUGCCGGAUAACGUCCGGUGGAGGCAACUCUAAGGAUAGUGCAACAGAAAUAAACCGCCAGAAAUGGUAAGGAUGGAAAGGCGAGGUAAGAGCUCACCGGCAACCCGGAGACGGGUUGGCCCUGUAAACCCCAUUCGGUGCAAGAUCAGAGUCAUGAUGCAGUUGCUCGCUGCGACUCGCAGUAUCGCUGGAACGCCCUGGUAACAGAGCGUCGAGACAGAUGAUGUUCAGAAACAGAACACGGCUUACGGAUUUGCUUU